GACGAAGGAUCCAAGCGUUAUCCGGAUUCAUUGGGCUUAAAGGGCGCGUAGGCGGCCCGGUAAGUCAGUGGUGAAAUCUCCUUGCUUAACAAGGAAACUGCCAUUGAUACUGCUGGGCUUGAGUACAGAUGCUGUGGGCGGAAUAUGACAUGUAGUGGUGAAAUACAUAGAGACGUCAUAGAACACCGAUUGCGAAGGCAGCUCACAAAGCUGUAACUGACGCUGAGGCACGAAAGUGCGGGGAUCAAACAGG
rnacentral:rRNA from 1 species